rnacentral:rRNA from 1 species
AUGCCCUUAGGCACGGCCAUGCAUAACAUAGAAAUCACACGUGGAAGGGGUGGGCAAUUAGCUAGAGCAGCAGGUGUUGUAGCGAAACUCAUUGCAAAAGAGGGUAAAUCGACCACUUUAAGAUUACCAUCUAGGGAGGUCCGUUUAGUAUCCCAAAACUGCUUGGCAACAGUCGGACAAGUGGGUAAUGUUGGGGUGAACCAAAAAAGUUUGGGUAGAGCCGGAUCUAAGUGUUGGCUAGGUAAACGCCCCGUAGUAAGAGGGGUAGUUAUGAACCCUGUGGACCACCCCGAUGGUAGCGGUGAAGGGAAAGCUCCCAUUGGUAGAAAAAAAACCCACAACCCCUUGGGGUUAUCUUGCGCUUGGAAGAAGAACUAG